ensembl:lncRNA
AUGCGGCGCCACGCGCGGCCCCUGGGCGUGCUGGCAGCCGUGGCCAAGGGACUCUUCCUCCUCUGGGCCGUGCCAGCGCGGAGCACGCAGCCCCCGACCCUGCAGCAGAUCCACGCACUGGUGCGGCACAUGGCCGAGGACGCGCGGGAGCUCUUCCUCUUCUACGAGCAGGACCAGCGCCUGGCCUUCAGCUGGCUGUGCCGCACCAACGCCUCGCUGGAGUGGCUGCGGGGGACGGUGGUGAUGGGGACCGGGGGGCUGCGGGCACUGCACGGGGCCAUGGCCCACAUGGACCGGGCGCUGCAGGGAAUCACCCAGCACCAGCGCGACCUCAACCCCCCCGGGGCCCCCAUCCUGCGCCGCCUCGACAGCACCCGCCUGAAGGUGCGGGGCCUCCUCAGCAACCUGGAGGGCGUCCUCCAUGCCCAUGGCAUCGUCCCCACCGUCCCCACCCUGCCCCGGCUGCCGGCGGCCACCAGAGUCUUCCAGCAGAAGGUGGAGGGGUGCCGGAUCCUCUGGAGCUACGCACGCUUCACGGAGCAGCUCAGCGCCCAGCUGGAGGAGCGAGGGCUGCGGGCACGCCGGGAGGAGCAGAGGCAGCAGCGGCGAGGCCGGCGGCGAAGCCGGCGGCCAGCAAGGUCCUAGGGAGCCCCUGCCACCCCCGCUGCUCUCACCCGAGCUGUCCCCAGCACCCUGGGGCUUGUGGUUGGAUGCGGAGAGCCUGGUGCGUGGCUGGCACUGGCACAGACGUCCCCCAGGUGCCACCGCAUGUGGAGGCCGGCACCGGCCAGCGGGGUCACUCUGGGUUGGUGACGUCCCCCGUUGCCAGCCCUGCCUGAUUUUCCAGUGAUUCAAUGGGUCUGGUGACAUGUCCUGACUAAGGGGCCGCUCGCACGGCACCCGCACGCCCGGCGCAGGCAGGGUGCAGCCCCAGACCGACAGUGGCCACUUGUGCCACUGGCAUGUCACCUGCGUGUCACCCCCUGCCUGCCUCUCGAGGGGUUCGCUGAACCCGGAGAGCAUCUGGGGGAGGUUUUUCUUGUGCCUGGUGUGCCCAUCAGCCUGGCGUCCCCGUGAGCUUGGUGUCCCCACGAGCCUGGAGGCCCCAUGAGCCUGGUGUCCCCGUGCACUCAGUGUCCCUGCAAGCUUGGUGGCCUUACACCCUCAGUGUCCUCGCGAGCGCAGUGUCCCUGUGCUCAUCCCUGCACGCCUGGUGUCCGUGCGCCUAUCCCUGUGCCUCAUGUCCCUGCAUUGUGUCCCCACGCCCUCAGCAUCCCUGUGCCCACCCCUGUGCCCUCGGUGUCCCCAGAGUCCCCAAGCCCCUCGGCAAGCCCUGCCUGUGCUGGGCAUGGGCUGGGGCUGUGGCCCCGCACUGUGCGGGUGGGCACCGGCCCCCCCAGUAACUUAUAGUGACAGUGGUGCAGCUCCCCUAUUUAUUAAAGCCAUCGGUUUAAUUUAAUACGUCCCUGAUCUGGGGAGAAAUAUUUAAGGAUACAUUUUUUAAUAUAUAAAUAUAUAUAUCUAUUUUUGUUAUUUUUUUUGUACUGUGUUAAACUGUAAAUGUAACAAUGUUUUAUUUAUGAAUCUAAAUAUUAUUUUGUACUGGGAGAAGGGCACCAGGCCACCCUGGCCAGGUGGUGCCCCCUUAUUUUUAUAUCACAGCAGACGGAAAUAAAGCAUUGACCUCGGCCUGUGGGCCGCUGCCU